rnacentral:rRNA from 1 species
CACGGGGGGAGCAAGCGUUGUUCGGAAUUACUGGGCGUAAAGGGCGUGUAGGCGGUUGAGUAAGUGAGAUGUGAAAUGCCCCGGCUCACCCGGGGACCGGCAUCUCAAACUGCUCAGCUCGAGUACGGGAGAGGAUGAGGGAAUUCCUGGUGUAGCGGUGAAAUGCGUAGAUAUCAGGAGGAACACCGGUGGCGAAAGCGCUCAUCUGGCCCGAUACUGACGCUGAGGCGCGAAAGCUAGGGGAGCAAACGGG